CCUACGGGAGGCAGCAGUGGGGGAUAUUGCACAAUGGGGGAAACCCUGAUGCAGCGACGCCGCGUGAGUGACGAAGUAUUUCGGUAUGUAAAGCUCUAUCAGCAGGGAAGAAAAUGACAGUACCUGACCCUGAAGCCCCGGCUAACUACGUGCCAGCAGCCGCGGUAAUACGUAGGGGGCAAGCGUUAUCCGGAUUUACUGGGUGUAAAGGGAGCGUAGACGGUUAUGUAAGUCAGAUGUGAAAACCACGGGCUCAACCUGUGGCCUGCAUUUGAAACUGUAGUUCUUGAGUACUGGAGAGGCAGACGGAAUUCCUAGUGUAGCGGUGAAAUGCGUAGAUAUUAGGAAGAACACCAGUGGCGAAGGCGGUCUGCUGGACAGCAACUGACGCUGAGGCGCGAAAGCGUGGGGAGCAAACAGGAUUAGAUACCCUUGUAGUC
rnacentral:rRNA from 1 species